GUAAAUCCGCGUUCUAUUCAGCCUGAGAUGUGAUGCCGAGCCGAUUGUGGUGAAGUGGAUGAUCCUAUGCUGCCGAGAAAAGCCUCUAGUGAGUGUUGUGGCGGCCCGUACCCUAAACCGACUCAGGUGGUCAGGUAGAGAAUACCAAGGCGAUCGGGUGAACUGUGGUUAAGGAACUCGGCAAAUUGCCCCCGUAACUUCGGGAGAAGGGGGACCUCUGCUGGUGAUGGGCUUUACGUUCUGAGCUGGUGGGGGUCGCAGUGGCCAGGGGGAAGCGACUGUUUACUAAAAACACAGGUCCGUGCGAAGUCGUAAGACGAUGUAUACGGACUGACGCCUGCCCGGUGCCGGAACGUUAAGGGGACCGCUUAGCCAACGCGAGUUGGCGAAGGUGAGAACUUAAGCGCCGGUAAACGGCGGUGGUAACUAUAACCAUCCUAAGGUAGCGAAAUUCCUUGUCGGGUAAGUUCCGACCUGCACGAAUGGCGUAACGACUUCCCCGCUGUCUCAACCACAGACCCGGCGAAAUUGCACUACGAGUAAAGAUGCUCGUUUCGCGCAGCAGGACGGAAAGACCCCGGGACCUUCACUACAGCUUGACAUUGGCGUUUGGAACGUCUUGUGUAGGAUAGGUGGGAGACUGGGAAGCUGUCACGCUAGUGAUGGUGGAGUCAUUGGUGAAAUACCACUCUGGUCGUUUUGAACGUCUAACUCUGGUCCGUGAUCCGGAUCGGGGACAGUGUCUGGUGGGUAGUUUAACUGGGGCGGUUGCCUCCUAAAGAGUAACGGAGGCGCCCAAAGGUUCCCUCAGCCUGGUUGGCAAUCAGGUGUUGAGUGUAAGUGCACAAGGGAGCUUGACUGUGAGACUGACAGGUCGAGCAGGAGCGAAAGCUGGGACUAGUGAUCCGGCAUCGGCGUGUGGAAGCGGUGUCGCUCAACGGCUAAAAGGUACCCCGGGGAUAACAGGCUGAUCUUCCCCAAGAGUCCAUAUCGACGGGAUGGUUUGGCACCUCGAUGUCGGCUCGUCGCAUCCUGGGGCUGGAGUAGGUCCCAAGGGUUGGGCUGUUCGCCCAUUAAAGCGGUACGCGAGCUGGGUUUAGAACGUCGCGAGACAGUUCGGUCCCUAUCCGCUGCGCGCGCAGGAGACUUGAAGGGGGCUGUCCCUAGUACGAGAGGACCGGGACGGACGAACCUCUGGUGUGCCAGUUGUACCGCCAGGUGCACGGCUGGUUGGCUACGUUCGGAAGGGAUAACCGCUGAAAGCAUCUAAGCGGGAAGCUCGCCUUGAGAUGAGGUCUCCCACCCCGUGAGGGGGUAAGGCUCCCGGUAGAUCACCGGGUUGAUAGGCCGGAGGUGGAAGCACGGUAACGUGUGGAGCUGACCGGUACUAAUAGGCCGAGGACUUGACC
rnacentral:rRNA from 1 species